CUUGCGGCUCCUCCUCCGUUUUCCUAACUGCACAGUUGCGCAGUGCUUUUGAGUCACGAGGUUCCCGUCACUGAUUGGGCGGAGAAAAGCCUUGUGAAUGUCACAGGAUGCGACCCCCGAAGCGUCUCAGCAGAGAACAUCGGGGAUUUAUUCUUGGUACCAAAGGCCCCAUGAGAGUUCCUCGGUGGUGGGAGCUUUGAUGACAUCAAAUGCAGAACAUACCACAGCUGCAGAUGUAGAAGAGCUCCCAAAGUAUGUGCUGAACAAAUCAACGAAUAAGACCAACUUGUAGCUCAAAGCUGCAAAGUGGAGAAACAGGAUAGUGAUCCAUUCUAUGAAACUUGAAAUAAAAAAAAUGGUUGAACUGUAUAGGCAGAUAUGUGUCAUAAUUUAGAAAGAUUUGUGCUAUUGGUAUUUUUAUGAUAUUAUCAUAAACUUUUGUUUUUUCAAAA